AACGGCCAUACCAUGCUGAAUAUACCGGUUCUCGUUAGAUCACCGAAGUCAAGCAUCGUUGAGCGCGGUCGUGUACUUGGGUGGGUGACCACCUGGGAACACCGCGUGCCGUU